rnacentral:rRNA from 1 species
CAGGCUUAACACAUGCAAGUCGAGGGGCAGCAUGGGAGUUUGCUUGCAAACUUCCGAUGGCGACCGGCGCACGGGUGAGUAACACGUAUCCAACCUGCCGAUAACUCGGGGAUAGCCUUUCGAAAGAAAGAUUAAUAUCCGAUAGGAUAUCAAGGUCGCAUGAUCUUGAUAUUAAAGAAUUUCGGUUAUCGAUGGGGAUGCGUUCCAUUAGUUAGUUGGCGGGGUAACGGCCCACCAAGACGACGAUGGAUAGGGGUUCUGAGAGGAAGGUCCCCCACAUUGAACUGAGACACGGUCCAAACUCCUACGGGAGGCAGCAGUGAGGAAUAUUGGUCAAUGGACGAGAGUCUGAACCAGCCAAGUAGCGUGAAGGAUGACUGCCCUAUGGGUUGUAAACUUCUUUUAUAUGGGAAUAAAACAGGGUAUGCAUACCCUCUUGUAUGUACCAUAUGAAUAAGGAUCGGCUAACUCCGUGCCAGCAGCCGCGGUAAUACGGAGGAUCCGAGCGUUAUCCGGAUUUAUUGGGUUUAAAGGGAGCGUAGGUGGAUUGUUAAGUCAGUUGUGAAAGUUUGCGGCUCAACCGUAAGAUUGCAGUUGAAACUGGCAGUCUUGAGUACAGUAGAGGUGGGCGGAAUUCGUGGUGUAGCGGUGAAAUGCUUAGAUAUCACGAAGAACUCCGAUUGCGAAGGCAGCUCACUGGACUGCAACUGACACUGAUGCUCGAAAGUGUGGGUAUCAAACAGGAUUAGAUACCCUGGUAGUCCACACAGUAAACGAUGAAUACUCGCUGUUUGCGAUAUACAGUAAGCGGCCAAGCGAAAGCAUUAAGUAUUCCACCUGGGGAGUACGCCGGCAACGGUGAAACUCAAAGGAAUUGACGGGGGCCCGCACAAGCGGAGGAACAUGUGGUUUAAUUCGAUGAUACGCGAGGAACCUUACCCGGGCUUAAAUUGCACCUGAAUAACGUGGAGACAUGUUAGCCGCAAGGCAGGUGUGAAGGUGCUGCAUGGUUGUCGUCAGCUCGUGCCGUGAGGUGUCGGCUUAAGUGCCAUAACGAGCGCAACCCUUAUCUUUAGUUACUAACAGGUUCUGCUGAGGACUCUAGAGAGACUGCCGUCGUAAGAUGUGAGGAAGGUGGGGAUGACGUCAAAUCAGCACGGCCCUUACGUCCGGGGCUACACACGUGUUACAAUGGGGGGUACAGAAGGCAGCUACCUGGCGACAGGAUGCUAAUCCCCAAAACCUCUCUCAGUUCGGAUCGAAGUCUGCAACCCGACUUCGUGAAGCUGGAUUCGCUAGUAAUCGCGCAUCAGCCAUGGCGCGGUGAAUACGUUCCCGGGCCUUGUACACACCGCCCGUCAAGCCAUGAAAGCCGGGGGUACCUGAAGUACGUAACCGCGAGGAGCGUCCUAGGGUAAAACU